rnacentral:rRNA from 1 species
UACGUAGGGAGCGAGCGUUGUCCGGAAUCAUUGGGCGUAAAGAGCGUGUAGGCGGCUUGGUAAGUCCGCUGUGAAAGUCCAGGGCUCAACCCUGGAAAGCCAGUGGAUACUGUCAAGCUAGAGUCCGGAAGAGGCAAGUGGAAUUCCUGGUGUAGCGGUGAAAUGCGCAGAUAUCAGGGGGAACACCAAUGGCGAAGGCAGCUCGCUGGGACGGUACUGACGCUGAGACGCGAAAGCGUGGGGAGCAAACAGG